rnacentral:rRNA from 1 species
AGCCACGGUAAUACCAGCACCCCGAGUGGUCGGGACGAUUAUUGGGCCUAAAGCAUCCGUAGCCGGCCCAGUAAGUCCUCCGUUAAAUCCAACGGCUCAACCGUUGGGCUGCGGGGGAUACUGCUGGGCUAGGAGGCGGGAGAGGCCACCGGUAGUCCCCGGGGUAGGAGUGAAAAUCCACUGAUCCCGGGAGGACCUGCAGUGGCGAAGGC